GGCAGCGAAGUUGCCCUUUCGCCUCAUGAUUUAUAUUUGGUCAGAGUAGCCCUGUUCCGCUUUCUACUAGCUGGAAUGUGUGUUGGACAUGUUGUUUCAAUAUGAGACAAUCAGCUGGGCCCUCUGUGGAAUGUCCCCGGAGACUGGAAACGACCUCCCAACAGGGUCAUUUGUUCAGCAGACUUCUAAGUGGCAUUCCUCAACAUCUGCAUUCUAUUAAUACCUUCAGAAUAUUUCCAUCAGCUUUGGGAAAUCAGAAGAUGCUUUGAGAGAUGGUCGGCACCGAAUCCCGGGGAAUGUUUAAUUCCUCUUCGUGAGUCUUUGGCGUUGCCAGGGACCUCCUCCUGCCCUGUCCCUUCUCCUUCAGCGUCACGCAGGUGGAUAUCCACGUUCGCCCAAUAAAACCCCAGGGCGAGGCGGUCUGUCAGGUGGACCGCUUUAGCCUAGGAGGGCCCACGGUGGAAGGCGAGUGUGUAAACACGCGGGAGAGAGUUGGAUGCGGGCAGAGCCAGCCAGGACAGACACCCUGGCUGCGUCUGCUGGAAAGGAGUGGAGAGAAAGGCCACAGCGCAAGGGGCCCCAGCGCAGUGGUGCAGGGCUGGCUUCCAAGUGCCCAUGGGCGCCUCGGCCCGGACGGCCGGCCCCGUCUUGUCCUCCCAGGGCACGGAGGUGUCGAGGGGAAGGUUUGAAAAGAGGGGUGCAACGAAGAGGUGGAAGCAAGGGGGCAUUUCUUUAAGGAAAAUGAAAAAAAAAACCCAACUAGUUGAAAUACACAGAUCACGUGGAACUAAAACUUAGGUUAGUAAAGAGCACACUCGGGGAGGGUGAUGUGCUCCCGGACACUUGGCCUCCUGAGGAGCCGGAUGUAGAGGAGACCUCGGGGAGAAAGUCGUGAGGGUGGAGGGCUGCUGGAUGGGAAAGAUGAGGGAGAAAACAGGGAAUCUGUGAACCCGUGCAGGGCCAGUUCAACCCGGCUCAACUCAGCGGAGUGUUUCAUGAAUAUUCACCGUGUGCAAACACGGAGUCAGGUACCCUGUAAAGCAGGCUUUGAGGUCACAGGAAACGUGAUCAGAAAGUGAGAUCUAACAGAGGGGGACAGUUUCCCAAGGGGCAUCAAGGAGACACUCAGGGGAAGUACGGGCCCUGUGGACCGUGGGCCGGCCAAGCCGACGUGGGGGCCAGACCAUGCACCUGCUGGGGGUAAGUGAAAUGCAUGUGCCUCGGUGCGGAAGCCCCCUCCCCAAAUCUGUCACAGCAGCUGAAGAGGUGUGUGCAAACAGAUCCAUUCAGGUAUUACCUUCAAAGGAUUAAAGAGUAAGCCUCUGCCUCUAAAAAGUCCUGGAAACGUAAUUUUGCCCAACAUGUACGUUACUGCUUAGAAUGCUAAUAUGCAAGCCUGGAGGGAUGAAUUAUAAGUCUUGGUAAAAAUUAUGGAGCAGUUUUCUUGGAAACUGAGAAGAAUGCCAGACUCUGAUAAGGCCCCUGAUUGUGAUAAACUGCUUCCUGCCUGUGUGAUUCUGAGACAGCUUGUCUUCACUGGCCCAGAGGAGGCUGAGGCAGUGGGAAAGGCCCCCUCGCAAUCCCGGACCCGAGGGGGUGCCUGCUGAGCAGCGUCCUCUGCCGGCGGGAGGGACCUGCUGGACACCCGUCACCGCCGCCCACGCUCCACUGGCCCUGGCGGCAAACCCUGACCUCAGCCUGGCACUUCUUGCCCCGGUAUCAUGCGAGCAUUCCGUGAGCAAAAGCUUAAAAAAGACACGACCGUCCGCGCCUGAGAUUGAAAUCUUCUUUCACUUUGUCAGAAUCAGGCAGAAUCACUUGGAAAACAAAUAAACAGAUACAACACAUAGCUGGAGUUGGGUCUUUGGCUCAGGAAAUUCUUGAGCUCACGUGUCUGCUCGGAAGAGGUUCCCACAGCCUGGCCGUUAUUUUUUAUCUAUCCCCACAGGAUGUACUCCUACACUGUCUCUUCCAGGGUCCCUUGCUUCCUGUCCAUGUUCCCACAGCUGCCGAGGGUGACGGCUCCAGUUUGCACUCAGAGACUUCUGAACCUAGGGUCCUCGCUGUCUGCCUGAGCUGGUAGCUGCCUGCAAAUGCAUGGCAGAUGUUCAACAUCAGGAAUCAAAACCGAGUUUUCGCACCACGCGGCACAUUCUUCCUCCCGGUCCUCUCGACAGGAUGUGGAACAAUUUCCCUCAUCUGUUGCUUGCUCAGUGGGGUUGGGACUUUGUGGAUUUUACAAUGAUACUUAGAUUCCUCCCAAAUCUCUUCCAAGAGGUUAAAAAACAAAGAAAACGUUGAUUCAGUCACAGACGGUUUCUAGUUGAGGAGUUUCUGGCUUUGUGGGACACACAGGUGAAAUCGGGAAGCAGGAGAGGAAGCACCUCAUGGGGUUUCCUGAGUCUUGGCAUCCAAAGAAUGCCCUCCGGCUAGCUCAGGGGUCCUCUAAAUUCUGAAGAAAACAUGACCAAUCUACAAGAUUAAGGAAAAAAGCAAAAGGCAAUCUCUGUUCAUUUGCAAAUUGGACAAAUUCUGAGAAUUACUGCGAUCCUGCACUGGCACGGAGGGCACCCUGGUAGGGGACAGACAAGAGGGGCGCCAUUUCUCGCAACUAUACUCAGUAUGUGAUCAGUGUCCAGUGACACAAUUUGGAAAAUAUGCCUACUGCAACGGUUUCCUUCUGGAUUCCCAGGCUGUCACACUGGGUUCACAGAUGCUGUCCUGCGUGGGCAUGGCUCAUCCAGUGUCUUGCACAAGCUGGGUGUUGGCGAGUGUUGGUGAAGGGGACCGAGGCACCCUUUAUUUGUCUUUAUUUGUGCAAGCACGGAACGGGACCGGAAGGCAUCCAACUCAGCACCCCUACUCCUCAUCCAGGAUUUGAGCCUGGAGAGUCUGGGCCACGACUCUCAUCAGGGUGGGCUUGACUGCUUACCAGUUACUAAUGGGGAAGACAGUUUGCCCUUAACGAGGGCAAGCUGAAAGUGGAAGAAUAAAGCUGGGACAAAAAGUGUUCCGGAUGUCCAACCUCCCACUUGUCUGUGGUAAGAGCUCUAUAGGUAGAAGAACGUUACUUUGGCUCACCGACCCUACCACUUGACCAAAGGGCAACAGUCCCGAGAAGUUCAGAUGAUUCCUCCCAAAGCGCAGCCAGGGGAAGGCCAGGACAUGCCUGAGUCAGCCCCGUUCUUUGUCCAGAGUUCUUUCGGCUCCGCACGUUGGCCAGAUGCAAGGAACGUUCAGGAAAAGUGACAAGAAUAGCAUCAACACUUUGUUCUUAAAAUAAGAUCACGCAUAUAAUUAUUAGAGACUUUCUGCAUGCAUUUAAUUUUCUAUCCCUAGAAUUGCCCAAAUAGUAGCUUUUAAUUAAAUAUUAAAUGCUAAGUAUUUGAAGCAUGAGUAACUUCCUCAUGUACAAAAAAGAAGCUUUGCCAGGAAAAAACCGUCUCUCUCCCCACCCCCCUCCCCCUCUCAAAUAUCCCUACUCUCUUGCAAUUAGAGUAAUGUAUAAGCCACAAGUUGGGUUGUUGGAUUCCGCCGGCAGUCCACAACUGAAAGAGUAUUACACCGUUUCUAUUUUGCUUUCAAAAAACGGAGCCCAAGCUGGUUUUCCAAGAUUGACUGGAGAAAUGCCAAGUUUCCCAUUAUGGGCAUCUGGAAUGAGGGUCCAGUAUGACUUAGAAGCAAACAUGUUCCACUUCUCUCCAGCGGACUCCGGCUUCCUUUGUGAAGUCUGCACUCAGACUCACUUGCUUUUGCGAUAUCUCACCGCCUGGAGAAGGACAGGAAGUCCUUGAGUCCUGCUCUAUAAAUAGAUUGAUGAUACAGACAUCCUCAGGCUUAUGAGGAUGAAGUAAAUUGAUUCACACAUGCAAAACAUUUAGACCCAUCUCUGCUGCCCAGUGAGACAUAAAUGUUUUACCUCUUUUUAUUUGCCAUGAUCACUAGAACUCCAGGCUUUACCUAAGAAAUGUAGAAGGGUGUUUUUAUUUUAGCUUUGUCGAGAUAUAAUUGACAAAACUGUCAGGUAAAGCCUACAACAUGGCGAUUUGUUAUACGUAUAUAUUGUGAGGCAAUCUCCCGCAUGAAGUUAAUGAAAACCUCAAUCGCUUCACUUAUUCACUCCCCUCCCCCCCUUUUUGGUGAGAACAUUUAAGUUCUAUUCUCCGCAGUCAAUUGUACAAUAAGAUGUUGGCAACUGUAGUCACCAUGCUACACAUUAGAUCCUGAGAGCUUACUCAUCUUGCAACGGACGCUUUGUAUCCUUCUACCAACCUCUCCCUAUUUUCCACCCCCACCUCCCGUCCCUUUUCUAGUCUCUGUUUCUAUGAGUUUGACUUUUUUUUCUUUUUUCUUUUUCUUAAGACUACACUUAGAACUGAUGCCAUGCAGUAUUUGUAUGUUUCUGCCUGGGGUAUUUUACUUUCCAUGAUGCCUUUAAGGUCCAUCCAUGUUGUCUCAAAUGGCAAAAUUUCCUUCCUUUUUAUGGCUGAAUAAUAUUCAGUUGGAUAUAUAUAACACAUUUCUUCAUCCAUUCAUCCACCCGUGGACAUUGAUGUUGUCUCCAUACCUUGGCUAUGGCUUUAAAGAUCAUGGGAGUGCAGAUACCUUUUCAAUAUAAUAAUGUGUUUCCUUUGGGUAUACAGAGAGAGGUCAGAUUGCCAGAUCAUCCUAUUUUUAGUUUCUUGAGGAAAAUCUAUACUCUUUUCCAGAGUGGCCGCACCAGUUUGCAUUCCCACCAACAGGGCAAGAGGGCCCCCCUUUCUCCACAUCCUUGCCAACACUUGUUGUCUCUUGUCUUUUUGAAAUUAGCCAUUUUGACAUAUGAGGUGAUAGCUCAUUCUAGUUUUGGUUUAUAUUUCUCUAAUGAUUAGUGAUAUUUAACACCUUUUCAUGUACCUGUUGUCCAUUUAUAUGCCUUUUUGGGAAAAAUGUCUAUUUGGGGCAUUUGCCCAUUUUUUUUUUCACUCAGGUUAUUUGUUUUAUUUAUUUAUUUGUCUGUUUACUUAUUUGCUAUUAAGUUGUAUGCAUUUCUUGUAUGUUUUGAAUAUUAACCCCUGAUCAGAUGUGUGGUUUGCAAUAUUUUUCCUCAUUCCGUAGGUUGUUCUUUCAUUUUGUUAAUGGUUUCUUUUUUCUAAGCAGAAGCUUUUUAGUCUGAGGUAUACCCAGUUUUUUGUUUUCGCUUUUGUUGAUUUUGCUUUUGGUGUCAAAUUCAAAAUUACGGCCAUCACCAAUGUUAAGGAGCUUACCACCUCUGUUUUCUUCUAGGAGUUUUAUGGCUUCAAGUCUUACGUUCAAGUCUUGAAUGAAUUUUGAAUUGAUUUUUGUGUAUGGUGUCAGAUAGGGGUCCUGUUUCGUUGUUUUGCAUGUAGCUAUCCAGUUUUUCCAACAUCAUUUAUUGAAGAGAUUGUCCUUUGCCUGUUGUAUAUUCUUGCCUCCUUUGUUACAAGUUAGUUGAUCAUGUAAACAUGGGUUUAUUUCUGUAGUGUCUAUUUCACUGAACUACAUAUCUGUUUUUAUGCCAAUAUCAUACUGUUUUGACUAUCAUAGCUUUGUAAUAUAGUUUGAAACCAGGGAACAUGAUAACUUCAGCUUUUCUUAAGAUUGUUUCGGCUAUUUAGAACCUUUUGUGGCUCCAUAAAAAUUUUAGGAUUGUUCUAGUUUGUGAAAAAUGCCAUUGGGGUUUUGAUAAGGAUUUCACUGAUUCUGUAGAUUUUUUUCAGUAGUAUAGAUGUAUUGACAAUAUUAAUUCUUCCAAUCUAUGAGUAUGGAAUGUCUUUCCAUUUAUUUGUGUCUUCUUCAAUUUCUUUCAUCAAUGUCUUAUAGUUUUCAGUGUACAGGUCUUUCCCCUCCUUGGUUAAAUUUAUUCUUAAGUAGUUUAUUCUUUUUAAUGCUAUUGUAAAUGGGAUUAUUUUCUUAGUUUUUCUUUAUGAUAAUUUAUUGUUAGUGUAUAAAAAUACAACUGACUUCUUGUAUAUUGAUCUUGUAUCAUGCAACUUUAAUGGAUUAAUUUAUUAGGAAUAGCUUUUUUUGGUAGCCUCUUUAUAGUUUUCUAUACACAUCACCUUCGAGUAUGGUGUUAGCUAUGGGCUUCUCAUAAUGUACCUAUUAUGCUGAGGUACAUUAUCUCUAUACCCAGUUUAUUGAGGGUUUUUAUUAUGAAAGAAUGUUGACUUUUGUUAAACCCUUUUUAUGCAUAGAUUGAGAUCAUGAGUUUUACCUUGUAUUAUGUUAAUGUGAUUUAUCACACUGAUUGAUUCAUGCAUGUUGAGCCAUCCUUGCAUCCUUAAAAUAAAUCCCACUUGAUCAUGAA